UACGUAGGGGGCAAGCGUUGUCCGGAAUCAUUGGGCGUAAAGGGCGCGUAGGCGGAUAUUUAAGUCUGGUGUGAAAUUUAGGGGCUCAACCCCUAGACUGCACCGGAAACUGGAUAUCUUGAGGACAGGAGAGGAAAGUGGAAUUCCACGUGUAGCGGUGAAAUGCGUAGAGAUGUGGAGGAACACCAGUGGCGAAGGCGACUUUCUGGACUGUAACUGACGCUGAGGCGCGAAAGCGUGGGGAGCAAACAGG
rnacentral:rRNA from 1 species